UGCAGAGGCAACUGAAGCAUCGAGCUCCCCUGAAUUCCCAAUACAAGUUGUGCAGCCAUAGCCAACAGUGUAGAAGCCCAGCUGGUUUAAGUACUUCUGCAGGCCACUACGACAAGAAAGGUACUUUGUCACAACACCAGAUCCCGGGGCAAGACUAGUCUUUAUCCAUGGCUUAACCUGUUUAGCAAAUCAGGCACAGAGAAUCCCUGCAUAACUCAAAAAGGACAUAACUUCGCAAGCCGUUCUUGU